AUUUAUAAUUUAAGAUUUAAAAACAAACAACUAUAAAAUUAUUCAAAUGUAACAAUUAAAUAAAUGUAACAAAUUUUGGAGACCUGCAUUAUUAUCCUUCAACUCUUUAGAAGAAUUUUUGUCAGAAUCACCCCAGGAAAAGGAUAUCAAAUACAAAGCCGGAAACAGAUUAGUUAUCUGUCUUAGCAGUUUGAUGGUAGACUCGUUUCCUUACUUCAGGCCGCCACCGUUUUAUGGAGGAUACCCAGGUUUUGGUAACCGAUUCUUCGGCCACGGAGGCUGGGGCCCACCCGGAUAUGGCGGUUGGGGCGGGUUCGGAUACGGUGGUUGGAAUCCAUUUUUUGGCGGAGGUGUUCCAUUCUAUGGAUAACCGGAAGAGAAAUUAUAUACUUGUAUAAAUGAAAAUAUGUAUUAUUCCUCGCAAAAUUUUUUUAAAAUUAUUCUAUAUAUUUUCUGCGAAAUUUCAAUCUACAUAUUUUCUGCGAAAUUAGUGAUUUAUAUAUACAUAUUCCUGAUAAAUUUCUAAUUAUUCUACAUAUUUUCUGCGAAAUUAGUGAUAUU